GGGUACGUCACCGAUAGUGCCACACAAAACAACCAUCCUGUUCCCAGAACCUUUCCUAAAGCAACCGAUCCCGUCCACUGUCAGAGGUGGAGUGAAAGUAGAAGGGGGAACAGAGGACUUCGGAUCAGACCCAGAACCGUCCUCGCGAAUUGGCCCCGUGUGUAAGGGAUUUUCCAAUUAUCCUAUGAUGACCCAUCUACAAGCUUGGUUUUAUGAAGGAAAGACAGGAGGAAAAGCAAAGAGACUAGUGGCCAGUGUAUGCCAAUCAGAGAGAUAAAAGAAACAAAUGACUAGAAGGAUGUGUCUGUCCUGCUGAGCAGCGUCAUUCUGAAAGCCUUCAAAUAUGACCAACUGCAAAUAACUCUGAGGACUCUCUGGCCAUUUUCAAAGCACUCCUAGUGUCAGCACACCCAGAAUUUGGCAGGGCCCAGAGGAGGGGAGCAGUGAGCGCUAAGGUGUCCUGGCAGCUGGAGCCUCUCCAGCCUCCCAGGGCAGGACUCCGGUUACACAGCGCUCACAGGGAGCUCCAGGGACAUGACCUCAUGUGAACCCCUGGCAAGGUCCUCAGGGCUCACCCUCGGCUGGACACACCUGUCACCAGCAGCUAUUUACAGCAAUCCUCACUGGUGGCCAGUGGCACAAGGAGGGCUGUGCUCAGGAGCAAGUUUUAACGCCCCAGGAACACCAAAGGCAGCGGGCAGUGGCUACGCUGGGGAGGACACUCCCUCACUUUUAGUUUCUCGACGGUUUUAUAUCCCACAGGUUUGUUUCUGCCAGCUCUACCGCACAGCAAAGAAUGACCACUGCAGCAAGGUUUGACAGAGGACACCCGAGAUGACCCUCAGAGACCCCUGUAAAUCUCAGCAUAACGGAAGUGUGGUUCUAGUGCUGUUUUCCUCACUAUGGUGCCAGAGAAAAUAGAUCUAAGAAAUCAGUAAUUUCUAAAUAGCUCCUCCACUUCCAGACAACACCAGCAGUAACUAACAGCUACAAGACAUAUUCCUCCUCGUCAAAUAGGGAUCAGUAAGAACAUGAAACCACUGUGUCCAGAAUGGGAUCCUCAGACUUUAUCACAGAAUCAUCACAGAAUGGUUUGGAUUAGAAGGGACCUUAAAGACCACCUUGUUCCAACUCCCCUGCCAUGACCAGGGACACCUUCCACUAAACCAGGUUGCUCAAAGUCCCAGUCAGCCUGGCUUUGAACACUUCCAGGGAUGGGGCAUCCACAACUUCUCCGGGCAACCUGUGCCAGAGCCUCACCACCCUCACAGGAAAGCAUUUCCUCCCAAGAUCUUAUCAACUUGUGCACAAUGUGUCUUGGGGAAGAUACUAUAGAUGCUUCUUCUUCAAAAAAAAAUGGCAGAAAUACUUACCAUACAGAAGAUCCCACCCUAUCCAACAAUUAACAGUUAAUUCUAGAUAAACACUAUGAAAGGAAUAUACAACCACUUCCAAAUACAAGCAAGCACUUACAAAAUUGAAGUGAAAUUUUGCAAUUGCUCUGUAGAGCAGGUAAACUCUGCAAGACAUUUUAAAACAUAUCUCUUAGAACAUCUGCUUCUUUUCUAAAUGAAAUGGUCACUUCCACAGAAAUGGAAAUUUUUAAGGUUCUAGAUAUUUUAACUUUAUAAUUGCCUUAUAAAUAUUUUUACAUGUAAGCUGUGAUAAUCACUACCAACAUACUUACCUCUACUUUCUACCAGCUGUAUAACUUAUAGCAGAUCGGACUAAGUAUUGUUUUUAAAUGUUAUUUGCACUGGAUUGUUUCCUGGACAAGCACAGGAGCUACUCACACUUGAAUUAAAAUCCCAUUCAUACCUAGACCUUUCACAAAGGCAUUGGAAGUGCUGUACUAUUUCUCAAGUUCAUUUGUUAAAAAGGCAGUUAAGAUGCACCCAUCCCUCACUGGAGUCACGGAGGAAAAAGGCAACAACAAUUCCAGAAUCUUCUAACACCUUUCAAGGUACUGUGACAACCUACCACUGAGUAGUGGACAAAAUACCUUUAGUCUCAGUCUGACCUGUGUUUUAGAUAGAACCUCUCAAGGUUAGUAGGGAAAAAAAAAAAAAAGUGCUAAAAAACCCCAAAACAAAAUAAAUUAUAUUCCUCUAUCUUGUGCAAAUUACAGAUAGGUUUGCAUUUGCAUUAUUAUGAUUUUUUUUAAAAGCACAGUAAACCAAAGUUUCAAACACCCUCACAGUUCAAAAUACUGAAUAUGUUGCCAUCAAUCAGUUUUAAAGUUUAACUCCAAUCUGAUGUUGUAUUGUAUUUAUCAUUAAAACUGAGACCAUGACACCA